UUAAUUUAGUACUAAGUCUCUUUAUAUAUGGCAUUUCACAUAAUAAUUUUUACUAUUUCUUUUGAAGUUGAGAGGUAGAUAAAGACUCAACUCUUUGCAGAUAAGUCUAUAGUCCACUCUCUCUGUGUAACAUCAUCUGCCUCAACUGGCUCAUGAUUUCAAGAAAAUAAAUAAAUAUAAUAUAUCUUGUGAUCUGCUACUUGCAUUCAGUGCCUCAAUAAUAUCUUCUUCUUUUUUUUCUUUCUAUUUAUAGUAAGACCAUAAAAAGUGAAGGUUAGUGGGGUUGAAGAAUGGAGAUAGUAGAUUGGAAAUGGGAGCAAAAUGAGAUGGAAGUUGAAGAAGGAGAAGGGGGUCUUCAAGUAAGAAGCUCUAAGGUUACUAAAGAAGUGACAAAUGGGAAAAUUGAGACAAAUGGGCAUGGAAAUUCUACCCUAAAGAUGACUAAUGGAACAGAAAAAUCUGUUCUUGGUGAUGAACAAGAAAGGUCAGAGGAGGAGAAGCUUUCAGAUUCCAUUAAUGGGGUUGAAGAUGAAGAGGGAACUGAGCCAAAAGAUAAGUUAUUUGAACAUAUUGUAGUUUCAAUUAAUGGGGUUGAGGAAAAAUCUGAUCUUGAUGAUGAACAAGAAAGGUCAGAGGAGCAUAUUUCAGAUUUCAAUAAUGGGGUUGAAGAGGGAACAGAAAAAUCUGAUCUUGAUGAUGAACUGGAGAGGUCAGAGGAGCAGCAUAUUUCAGAUUCCUAUAAUGGGGUUGAAGUUGAAGAGGAAACAAAACCCAAAGAAGAGUCUGUUCAGCAUAUUUUACUUUCAAAUAAUGGGGUUGAAGUUGAAGUUCACGGGGAAACAAAACCAAAAGAGGAGUCAGUUCAGCUGAUUGUAGCUUCAAAUAAUGGGGUUGAAGAGGGAACUGAACCAAAAGAAGAGCCAGUUCAGAAGAUUGUGGCUUCAAAUAAUGGGGUUGAAGAGAGAACUGAACCAAAAGAAGAGUCAGUUCAGAGGAUUGUGUCUUCAAAUUGUGGGGUUGAAGAAGGAACUGAACCAAAAGAAGAGUCAAAACAGCAUCUUGUGACUUCUACUAAUGGGGUUGAAGUUGAAGAGGGAACAGAAGCUGAAGAAGAUUCUGUUCAGCAGAUUGUAGUAGUUUCAAAUAAUGGGGUUGAAGAGGGAACUGAACCAAAAGAAGAGUCAAAACAGCAUCUUGUGACUUUUACUAAUGGGGUUGAAGUUGAAGAGGGAGCUGAAGAGUCAAUUCAGCAUAUUGUAGUUUCAAAUAAUGAGGUUGAAGAGGGAACUGAACCUAAAAAAGAGUCAAAGCAGCAUCUUGUGAUUUCUACUAAUGGGGUUGAAGAGGGAACAGAAGCUGAAGAAGGGCCCUUCAGCUCAGGCCAUUCUGUCUAUUAUGACAAAGAUGAAGGUAUAUAUUAUAUUACAUCAACUGUUUUUGACCAUUUUUUUGUACUUAAAUUCCUUAUGAAAUUCUCUCUUGAUUCUUCUUUCUUAAGAUCUGUGUAUUUACAUGUCUUCUUCAUUGGGUUUGUAGGGUAAAGUAUACAGUAUUCAGGGUAGUGAUAGAAAAACUCUUUUGAACCCCACGUCUUACCCUACUUGUCUGAAACUAUUUCUUCUUUAUUUGAUUGAUUCAGUUCAAAAAAAAUAAAAAUUUCUUCUGUACUGCAAAGGG
rnacentral:lncRNA from 1 species